CAUUUGUUCAGUCGGUUCAGGCGUAGGCAAAACCUAGCCUUCUUUCUGCGAGCCAACCGCCUAAUCCCCAUCUCCAACUCUUCGACAGUCCUGCCAUCCGCUGCCACAGCCAGGGGCCAAUGAAUCCCGGACUGUACCUGGAGGAGCAUCGCCGGAGACGUCACCUCCCGUAGGUGGGAGCCAGACCUAGGGUGCCGAAGUCCGCGGGAGGAGGCCGCCAAGCGCCCGUCCGUGCCGCUGGGAGGAGUGUUCUGGCGAGAAGAAGAUGGUGGGAGGGCGGGGCUAACCUGCUGAUGAUCUCUGGUGGACAGCUGAAGAGAUCCAGCAUCACAUUGCAGGGUGCCACGGCGCCCUCUCCCAGCCCCUUUGCCUCUCCCGGGGACAACAUCAGAGCCUUGCAUCCAUGAACGGAUGGGAAAUCACCCUGGCGACCAAGCCCCCGCGAUGCGCCCGAACCGUAGGGGCCUGCGCAGCGAUGUGUGCGCAGCGGGUGCGCAAGCACCAUGGCCGUUCCGCGCCCCCGCCGCAACCUUCUCCCCACAGCCCAUCCGUUCUUCGGAGCAACGUGCAAGAAGAUGCAGUUUAGGGACCCUGUGGUGCCCAUGGGCAGCACCUCUGGUAGGAGCUUCAGCGGUUCAGCCCCACCUCUCUGAUUUCAAUUAAUUCCCUCAUAGUUUUUGCAGAUUCCAGGUCACGCCAUAUUAGCAGAGAUGGCCUUCUGCAUUGAAUUGAUUACAUACUAGCUACCCUGCUCCAUUUUACAUUGCAUCAUGCAUCAAAGAAGAGGGGUUGUUACUGGCUUGCUACCGAGUCAGUUUAUACGGUUGUACUCCAUAAUUAGUGAGAUAAAUAUCUUCUACAGAACACACCAGUUCUUGGUUAGUGUCUCAAUUUCCUGCAACUUAAGCGUCCUGAAUUUCUGAAGUUUUAUGUGCUCCUUAAAUUUCUGAAUUUAUUAUAUGUAUGCAUUAUCAGCCCAUUACAAUUAUAUUCUGCUUAUGGCUUCUGUCCCUGUAAUUCGUGCACCCUUAAUUUGAGAAGUAAUAGCUGUCUUAUGGUUUCUCAAUCUUAUUGGUAUACAACUAAACAGUAUCCCACUAUCUGUCUAUUUUUUAUAGCGUUAGCGUUAUGUUCAUGUUCAAUCUUUUUAAUAAUCCGAAAAGGAAUAUUAUUCUAGGCAGGAAGAGUAGACUCAUUCCCACCGCUUGGGUAUGAUUAGACAUGAAGGAAUAACGUGUUUCCAUGUGCUUGCAGGUGCACCUUCUAUUUCUACCAUUCUUGUUCAGGCCUAAAUAAAUAGACCAGGUCAGUCAAAUACUAUAGAUGAGCACCUGAACCAAACUGUUCAAGCUAAUUGCAGGAAUUGAUGUACAUAUUGUCAUAUUCAUACAACAUUUUCAGUGUUCAUAGAGAUAUGCUCAUCUUCGGACAAGAUAAUGUGCUAGCUUUUGUUGGGUUAAACAUUCAUGAGUACUAAUAUGAGGUUACGUUAGUUUUUGCUGCAAUCAUCAGCAAUUGUUAGAAAUAACUGGUUAUUAAACAAGAGUGGUUGACUGGGUUUUUCUCGACAGCUUAUGUACAAGAAUAAGUGGUGUUCUUUGGUGAACAUGAACCCUUUUGAACUGUUUCGUGAUAACAUAAACUCUUGGUAGACACAUUGAUAGUUCACACCAUUACUUCCAUUGUUUUCAGUUACUAUUCAGCUAAAUAAUCCUUAGUUAAAGAAUAGCCUAUGUAGCUGAUGGGUCUUAAAUAUCUGUAGAAUUUUUACCAGGACCUAUCAUUCUCGUGAUAAUUGGAGUAUUAUUUUUAUUUUGAUAGGGAGCCUCGCUUUCUGCUAUGUUUCAGAUUUGGUAAACUGAAGUGAUUUACCGGAUUCCAUGGCUCUGAAUUAAGGUAUAUGCCAACAAUAAUACUACUUGGAAGAUCAUGAUAGUGACUCGAAUGCAAAUUUUUAGAAUGUAUGCAGCUUCUUGACGGAAUAAGAUGGUAUGGAAGCUUUGGCAGGAGUUACCUUGCUGCCACCAAGUAGGCAAUUACCAAGGCUCACAGAUACAUUAUUUCUUCUGACCAAGCUGGGUUCAAAAAUAACCUUUUAUAAGACUGAAACUAACCGAAUAUCUGCAUGAGAGUACAGUAUCAUUCUUGGUGAGUUGCUUAGCCAUACAUCCUCAUAGACCCCUUCCAAUUUUAUUGACAUGUUUUGUCCUUCCAGUACUAUUGCUAUGUUCUUGUGGGUACUAAAAUAGUGUAUUAGGUAGCAAGGUCCGAUGCUUCUAGGCAUAACUCCUGUAAAUAUUUUCACUAUGUUUUCAAGUACCUUAUCGUAUGUGUUAUCAUCCUGAAUUUCCCUUUCAUGGUAAAUCACAUUAAGAGAAACUUCAGCACAUAUUUCCUUUGAUAGGAUUUGCAGGUUCUGUUAGAGAAGGUUAUCGGCACAUCAACUUCCGAGAUUCAGAGAAGUUGCUUUGGUUCCCUAUGUGUCACUUCCAUCAGGAAGAUUCUUCGUGGAAAAAAGGGACGCAAGGUGCCAAACCAACCUACAUUAUUUCAAGGGCAGUGUUUUUUAGCCUCUAGGGUCAUACGACUGUCUCUCAAAUCUUUCAUCAAGCCGCUUACUUUCAUGUUGCUCCCAGGUUGUCUAAUUUUGGCAACCUUUCGAAAUUUGAAAAGAAGUUUCCAUGCAUUCAUCAAAUUUAGUGAACAAUACACCACUUUGUAUAUGAUUUUCUUUUUGCUAGAACUAGCUUUUAUA